ensembl:antisense Gm15351 predicted gene 15351
UUCCUAGGGUUUCUGUCCUCCGGGAUUGGAAGUAGCUGCUGCAGGGACGCGAUCCCAAACCACCCAAAGAACAUCCAGCCUGAGCCCAAUGCUCCCUUUACUUCCUGCCCCAGGCCCCCUUUACCUCCCGCCGCUGCAGGGCAGGUGCAGAGUCCACAGCAGCCUAGAGCGCGCUCUCCACGAGGUCUCAUGCCCAGGUUAUAAAGCGAAUCAUAAACGUGCAUUUGGGCGAUCAAGCAUGCCCAUCCGCCUCUCGGAAUGAGUCCCCAGGAGCGUGACCUUCACCACCUCUGGAAAAUCUGCAUGCUUUCUCUUCAAAGUUGCCAUGAUGUCUGCCCCAGCGCACAGGCGAGCCUGUCUCACCAAGUUCUCUGGCGUUCGAAUGGUCACCGCUUUCAGUGUUAGCUGUUCUUCUGGGU